GUACAGAGCUGCCAAUGGUGAUCC
rnacentral:siRNA from 1 species